rnacentral:rRNA from 1 species
CGGCCACAUUGGGACUGAGACACGGCCCAAACUCCUACGGGAGGCUGCAGUAGGGAAUCUUCCACAAUGGGCGAAAGCCUGAUGGAGCAACGCCGCGUGUGUGAUGAAGGCUUUCGGGUCGUAAAGCACUGUUGUAUGGGAAGAAAAGUUAAGGUAGGGAAUGACCUUAGCCUGACGGUACCAUACCAGAAAGGGACGGCUAAAUACGUGCCAGCAGCCGCGGUAAUACGUAUGUCCCGAGCGUUAUCCGGAUUUAUUGGGCGUAAAGCGAGCGCAGACGGUUGGUUAAGUCUGAUGUGAAAGCCCGGAGCUCAACUCCGGAAAGGCAUUGGAAACUGGUUAACUUGAGUGCAGUAGAGGUAAGUGGAACUCCAUGUGUAGCGGUGGAAUGCGUAGAUAUAUGGAAGAACACCAGCGGCGAAGGCGGCUUACUGGACUGUAACUGACGUUGAGGCUCGAAAGUGUGGGUAGCAAACAGGAUUAGAUACCCUGGUAGUCCACACCGUAAACGAUGAACACUAGGUGUUAGGAGGUUUCCGCCUCUUAGUGCCGAAGCUAACGCAUUAAGUGUUCCGCCUGGGGAGUACGACCGCAAGGUUGAAACUCAAAGGAAUUGACGGGGACCCGCACAAGCGGUGGAGCAUGUGGUUUAAUUCGAAGCAACGCGAAGAACCUUACCAGGUCUUGACAUCCUUUGAAGCUUUUAGAAAUAGAAGUGUUCUCUUCGGAGACAAAGUGACAGGUGGUGCAUGGUCGUCGUCAGCUCGUGUCGUGAGAUGUUGGGUUAAGUCCCGCAACGAGCGCAACCCUUAUUGUUAGUUGCCAGCAUUCAGAUGGGCACUCUAGCGAGACUGCCGGUGACAAACCGGAGGAAGGCGGGGACGACGUCAGAUCAUCAUGCCCCUUAUGACCUGGGCUACACACGUGCUACAAUGGCGUAUACAACGAGUUGCCAACCUGCGAAGGUGAGCUAAUCUCUUAAAGUACGUCUCAGUUCGGACUGCAGUCUGCAACUCGACUGCACGAAGUCGGAAUCGCUAGUAAUCGCGGAUCAGCACGCCGCGGUGAAUACGUUCCCGGGUCUUGUACACACCGCCCGUCACACCAUGGAAGUUUGUAAUGCCCAAAGCCGGUGGCCUAACCGUAAGGAGGGAACCGUC